rnacentral:rRNA from 1 species
UACGUAGGGGGCGAGCGUUAUCCGGAUUUACUGGGCGUAAAGCGCACGUAGGCGGCUUUCUAAGUCGGGGGUGAAAUCCUGGAGCUCAACUCCAGAACUGCCUUCGAUACUGGAAAGCUCGAGUCCGGGAGAGGUGAGUGGAACUGCGAGUGUAGAGGUGAAAUUCGUAGAUAUUCGCAAGAACACCAGUGGCGAAGGCGGCUCACUGGCCCGGUACUGACGCUGAGGUGCGAAAGCGUGGGGAGCAAACAGG